AUCCAGCUGACGAGUCCCAAAUAGGACCGGUGAAACGCGCUUUAUCCUGGAU
rnacentral:hammerhead_ribozyme from 1 species